GACGAACGCUGGCGGCGUGCCUAAUACAUGCAAGUCGAACGCACGAAGUUGAAGAGCUUGCUCUUUAACCAACUGAGUGGCGGACGGGUGAGUAACACGUGGGUAACCUGCCCCAUUAGAGGGGGAUAACAUUCGGAAACGGAUGCUAAUACCGCAUAGUUUCAGGAAUCGCAUGAUUCUUGAAGGAAAGGUGGCUUCGGCUACCACUAAUGGAUGGACCCGCGGCGUAUUAGCUAGUUGGUGAGGUAAUGGCUCACCAAGGCAAUGAUACGUAGCCGACCUGAGAGGGUGAUCGGCCACACUGGGACUGAGACACGGUCCAAACUCCUACGGGAGGCAGCAGUGAGGAAUAUUGGUCAAUGGGCGAGAGCCUGAACCAGCCAAGUAGCGUGCAGGAAGACGGCCCUAUGGGUUGUAAACUGCUUUUAUGCGGGGAUAAAGUGAGGGACGUGUCCCUCAUUGCAGGUACCGCAUGAAUAAGGACCGGCUAAUUCCGUGCCAGCAGCCGCGGUAAUACGGAAGGUCCUGGCGUUAUCCGGAUUUAUUGGGUUUAAAGGGAGCGUAGGCCGCGGAUUAAGCGUGUUGUGAAAUGCAGGUGCUCAACGUCUGCACUGCAGCGCGAACUGGUCCACUUGAGUGUGCGCAACGCAGGCGGAAUUCGUCGUGUAGCGGUGAAAUGCUUAGAUAUGACGAAGAACUCCGAUUGCGAAGGCAGCUUGCGGGAGCACAACUGACGCUGAAGCUCGAAAGUGCGGGUAUCGAACAGG
rnacentral:rRNA from 1 species